rnacentral:lncRNA from 1 species
UAGAUUUUCAUCAAUGUUCCUUGGUGGUACCUUGCCUUCUCUAGGAUGAUCAGUCCUUUCCUGACACAAAGGACUAAGAGCAAAUUUGUAUUUGCUGGUUCCUCCAAAUCUGCUGAAACCCUUUUCAAGUAAGUCCUUUCUUCACUUUUUUUAGUGCUUUCAUCAUAGAUAUAAGUCAUGUUUUUUAGCCCAUAGGAAGAAGGUUACCACAAACACACUUAUUGCUAUUAUUAUGACCAACUUACAAGGUUUUAAAUUUUUUUCAAAGUAGCUUUGCCAUAAACACACACAUAUUUAUAUUAUUAUAUGCAAACUACAUGAGUUUUUAAAUUGCUUUCGUAAUAGCUUUUUGCUACGAGACCUAAUAUUGUGUAAAAAUGAUGUCAAAUUCUACUUAUUCCAAGGCUUUAAGUCGCGCCGCAAUCCUUGAAAUGCGUCUGAUACAGGCUCAACCAUAGUUGUGUUAUAGUCACGGAGACUUCAAAAACCUUGAUAUUGUGGUUUAGAUUGCAGUCCUAGACUUCCUAUAAAAUCUUACGAGAUGCUACUUCACUUGUAGUUUUGGUCGUGUAGACAUAAAAACCUUGACAUAACUGUCACAAUUGUAUUUGCAGACAAUUUUUUGGACCUUAAGGAACAUACCCUAUUAAUAUUUCAUUAUUAUUGUUGUUAUUUAUUAAAUCUCUUAUUGAUAAAUAUUUGGCCGAACAGAU